rnacentral:lncRNA from 1 species
UUUUGAGUUAAAACAUCCCCUUAUCCCUGGGUGCAUCAUUCCUGACAUGUAGCAUUGUUAAUGAGAGUGUGAAUACCUUCAGACUUGUCACGCGACCUCUGAAAGUUGAUGGAGGUCAUUAGAGCACUGGUGAGCCAUCUUUAUUUCUGUGAAGACAUGGAAUUCCACGAAGACAGAACCCAGACAUUAAAUGCUAUGUUCCUCCUUUUCUACUCUUUUGCAGGCUGUCUAUUUUGCUUUUGUUGCUUGUGCUUUUGGUGUCAUAUCCAGGAAACUGUUGCCAAGGC